UCGGGAAUUUUGGACAAUGGGCGCAAGCCUGAUCCAGCCAUGCCGCGUGAGUGACGAAGGCCUUAGGGUUGUAAAGCUCUUUUGGCGGGGAAGAUAAUGACGGUACCCGCAGAAUAAGCUCCGGCUAACUUCGUGCCAGCAGCCGCGGUAAUACGAAGGGAGCUAGCGUUGUUCGGAAUCACUGGGCGUAAAGCGCACGUAGGUGGGCAGUUAAGUCAGGGGUGAAAGCCCGAGGCUCAACCUCGGAAUUGCCUCUGAUACUGGCUGUCUAGAGUUCGAGAGAGGUGAGUGGAAUUCCUAGUGUAGAGGUGAAAUUCGUAGAUAUUAGGAAGAACACCGGUGGCGAAGGCGGCUCACUGGCUCGAUACUGACACUGAGGUGCGAAAGCGUGGGGAGCAAACAGGAUUAGAUACCCUCGUAGUCCCUGAGCGGGCUGGCAAGGCG
rnacentral:rRNA from 1 species